UACGGGUCCUACUCCUACGGGAGGCAGCAGUGCGGAAUUUUAGAUAAUGGAGGCAACUCUGAUCUAGCGACGCCGCGUGCAGGAAGAAGGUCUUCGGAUUGUAAACUGCUGUGGUAAGGGAAAAAUGUCAUGUAGAGUGGAAAGCUACAUGGAGGGAUGGUACCUUACUAGAAAGCCCCGGCUAACUACGUGCCAGCAGCCGCGGUAAUACGUAGGGGGCGAGCGUUACCCGGAAUCACUGGGCGUAAAGGGAGCGUAGGUGGCCUGACAUGUCAACUGUGAAAACCCGGAGCUCAACUCCGGACUUGCAGUUGAAACUGCCAGGCUUGAGGACGGUAGAGGAAGACGGAACUGCCAGUGUAGGGGUAAAAUCCUUAGAUAUUGGCAGGAACGCCGGUGACGAAGGUGGUUUUCUGGGCCGGUUCUGACACUGAUGCUCGAAAGCCAGGGGAGCGAACGGGAUUAGAUACCCCGGUAGUCCUGGCCCUAAACGAUGUUCACUAGGUGUGGGGAGCGGAAAGCUUUCCGUGCUAAAGCUAACGCGAUAAGUGAACCGCCUGGGGAGUACGCCCGCAAGGGUGAAACUCAAAGGAAUUGACGGGGGCCCGCACAAGCGGUGGAGCGUGUGGUUUAAUUCGAUGCUAAGCGAAGGACCUUACCAAGGUUUGACAUGCUGAUAGUAGUGAAUUGAAAGAGGAACGACC
rnacentral:rRNA from 1 species